UUAAGCUUGGCUCUGACUUAUAAAUAUAAUGGAAACUAGAAAAUACACAUGGUUUUUCUUGAAGUAGGCGAGGAUUUAGGAAAAAAUAAUGAAAGUACAGCAUAAAGCUUCAUUCAUAUUUUGCCUUAAGUAUUAUUUAAUUAUAGCAUGCUACGAAAAGUCCCGCUAACACCAGUGCUGAAGAUUAAGAAAAGAGUGAGAGCUUGUAUUAAUUCAGUUUUAUUGUCUGGUUAACUUGGUGCCAGCAUCCGCGGUUAGACCAAGGAGACAUAAUUAUAUUAUUACGGUAAAAAGACAGUUAGGCUUAUAGGUAAAUAUAAAUAAUAGCUUAUUAAAUAUUCAUAAAAAGGUAGAAUUUGAAUAUGGAUACAUAAUUCGAAAAUAGCUAACGAAGCUGAAUCUGUGAUCGCCUUGAGGGAAACUGGGAUUAGAUACCCCAUUAUUCUUGGAUAUAAAUUUGAUAGUAACUUACCAGAGCACUAUGAACCAUACAAGGUUUAAAACUCAAAGGGCUUGGCGGUGUUUUAGACCUUUCAGGGGAACCUGUCUCGUAAUCGACAAUCCGCGUUAAACCUAACCUUCUUUUUGUACUUCAGUUUGUAUACCGUCGUCGUCAGGUAACUUUCAAAAAUUUAGAAGUUAGCAAUAUAAACAGUUUAAAUUAACACGUCAGAUCAAGGUGCAGCUAAUAAGAAGGUGAGGAUGGGUUACAAUUAUUUACUUAUAAUAACGGAUAAAUUAAUGAAAGUAGUUUUAUGAAGGAGGACUUGAAAGUAAAAUAGACUAUAAAAACAGUUUGAAUAAGGCUCUGAAACGUGCACACAUCGCCCGUCGCUCUCGUUGAAAAAUGAGAUAAGUCGUAACAUAGCAGGGGUAAUGGAAAUUGUCCCUAGAUG
rnacentral:ncRNA from 1 species